GGACCUGACUGCUAUCGGAUUGAUACUAAGCCAUGCGAGUCUUUGUAGUAAUACAAGGCAUACGGCUCAGUAACACGUAGUCAACCUACCCUAUGGACAAGAAUAAUCUCGGGAAACUGAGCAUAAUUCUUGAUAGAUCAUAAUGCCUGGAAUGGUUUAUGGUUAAAAUGAUUCGUCGCCGUAGGAUGGGACUGCGGCCUAUCAGCUUGUUGGUGAGGUAAUGGCCCACCAAGGCGAUUACAGGUACGGGCUCUGAGAGGAGUAGCCCGGAGAUGGGUACUGAGACACGGACCCAGGCCCUAUGGGGCGCAGCAGGCGAGAAAACUUUGCAAUGUGCGAAAGCACGACAAGGUUAAUCCGAGUGGUUUCUGCUAAAGAAACCUUUUGUCAGUCCUAGAAACACUGAUGAAUAAGGGGUGGGCAAGUUCUGGUGU
rnacentral:rRNA from 1 species